UUUCCUAGCAAAAGCCAAAACUCACCUCCGACCACCUUUUUUCACCUUGAUCUAUACUGUCACUGCUUCUACUUUCUCUUUUUAGGAUUUUCCUAUCUUUCUCCCUUCCUUAGUCCACUACGUAACUAGAAUUACGUAGAUUUACAAUUUUUGAAUUGAAGGUGAAAAUCCCAGCUCGGAUUAUAAUACUUGUUUGAAUUGGAUUGUUCUUUUUUGAAAUAUUGCUGUUAAUUAUUGUGGCAUUGUUGAAGUGAUUGGUGAAUUGUGGAGAUCUGGUAGUUAGUAAGGUCAAUUUGAGGGAAAUUUAGAGAGAUUGAAGUGGAAAAGGGGUUGUGGAUUCGAUCGGGGGUGUGACAGCGCCAUUAGAUGGCGCUGUUCAGACGCUUCUUCUAUCGGAAGCCCCCGGAUCGGCUUCUUGAGAUCUCCGAGAGGGUCUAUGUUUUUGAUUGCUGCUUCUCCACUGCCGUACUGGAUGAAGAUGAGUACAGAACAUACAUGAAUGGAAUUGUAGCGCAGCUACAGGACCACUACCCUGAUGCUGCCUUUAUGGUUUUCAACUUCAAAGAAGGGGAAAAGAAAAGUCAAAUAUCGGAUGUAUUAUCUCAGUAUGAUAUGACGGUUAUGGAUUACCCUCAGCAAUACGAGGGUUGUCCGCUGUUACCAUUGGAGAUGAUUAACCACUUCUUGCGAUCCAGUGAGAGCUGGUUGUCACUUGAGGGCCAACAGAAUGUGCUUUUGAUGCACUGUGAAAGGGGAGGAUGGGCUGUCCUUGCCUUCAUGCUUGCUGGCCUUCUUCUAUACAGGAAACAGUACAUGGGUGAGCAGAAGACUCUUGAAAUGGUAUACAAGCAAGCUCCUAGAGAACUUCUUUAUCUUCUGUCUUCCUUGAAUCCACUGCCAUCUCAGCUAAGAUAUCUUCAGUACAUUUCCAGAAAAAAAUUUGGGUCAGAUUGGCUUCCAUCAGAUACACCUCUGGCUUUGGACUGUAUAAUGCUUAGAAUUCUUCCUCUAUUUGAUGGUGGAAGAGGAUGCCGACCAGUAGUUCGCGUCUAUGGUCAGGACCCUUCGUCCAGAACAUCCAGUAGAAAUUCAAAGCUUUUGUUUUCAACUUCCAAAAUGAAAAAAAAUACCCGUCUCUAUCAACAGGAAGAGUGUGAGCUAGUGAAACUAGAUAUUCAUCACCUUGUUCAAGGAGAUAUUGUUCUUGAGUGCAUCCAUUUGGAUGAAGAUCUAGUCACAGAGGAAACAAUGUUUAGGGCUAUGUUCCAUACAUCAUUUAUUCGGUCAAAUGUUUUAAUGCUGAAUCGUGAUGAAAUUGAUGUUCCUUGGGAUGCUAAGGACCAAUUUUCAAAGGAAUUCAGAGCAGAGGUACUUUUUUCGGAUGCAGAUUCUUGUCCAUCUAUUAUCACCAUGGAAGCAGUAAGUGAAGAUGGGAAUGAAGCAGAAACUGCUUCACCAGAUGAAUUUUUUGAGGCAGAAGAGAUCUUUAGUAGUGUGGUUGAUGGGCGGGAUGGAAAGGCAGAUUCUAGUACUAGUAUAAUUCAAGCUAGUGCUCAGGAUGAUGACAAUGAACAUGAUCUAGCCUGGAAGGAUGAUUUGGAUCAUCACACAUUUCAAGAUUGUGCAUCGGAUGAGGGGAGUUACAAACACAAUGUUAAGAUGGAUGGAUUUAAAAAUAUGUCAAAAGCAGAUGUUUUGCGCAAUGGGCAUUUCCAGUUAGAUUCUAGUAUAGUCAUCUCAGAAGUAGCAAGUGAUUCAGAAAUCAAAGCUGUAAAAGCUGGUUCACCUGGCAAAUCUGAAGAAGGGGAUAAUAAACAAAGUCAAGAAGUGCCUCCUUCAAUGAAGAGGAUAGAAAAGGAAGCUUCUCAACAAAAGCUAGAUGGUGAUAAUAAUAAGCAGAUAGCCCAAAAGAAACAAUCGACUUCUGGUUCAAAACCUGCUGCAGAUGCAGUUGGUACCAAGAAAUCGAAACAGCAAGAAUCGCAGGGCACACUUCUAAGACAGGCAAAGCCAAAUGCAGUAUCUAGGUGGAUUCCUUCUAAUAAAGGUUCUUACACUAAUUCAAUGCAUGUAUAUUAUCCACCGUCAAGACAUAAUAGUGCUCCAGCUGCACUAACUCCUGGCAAGGAUUCCACACCAGGGGGGAAAUCAAAAUCUGUUACUGCAUCUUCGGAAGCUGUAGUUACAGCAAACAGAACUCAGGCAGCAGGUCAUGGGAAACAUUCAUCUUGUCCAUCAUUAUUAGAUUCGUCACCAGCUCAAGAGCCUUCUUCCUCAACUCUGGCUUCACCACUGAAAGUGAAAUGUAGUGCCCUGGAACAUAAUCCAGCUCCUCCCUCUUCUAGCUCAUUGUUACCUUCUUCGCCACCUACGCCAAUUAUACAGGCAGGAGAGCAUGCCCUGUACCCACCUCAACGACCACCACCCCCACCACCUCCGCCUCCGCCUCCGCCUCCUCCUCCGCCUGUUUCUAAUUUGCCACUCCUACCCCCAUCACCUUUGUUAUCUUCUCAAAGUGCAGAUUUUACAAAAUCACCGCCUCCACCCCCACCCCCACCCUUGCCUUCCAUAACUGCAGGCUUAAGAGCAACUCCACAGGAAACUUAUCACCCCCCUCCUCCUUCUACCCCACAUUCCAACGCUUCUAGCAUGCAGAAUACUAGUAGAGUGUUGCCCACGCCGCCGCCGCCACCUCCUUGGUCUGUUGUUACUUCUAUGCGUCGUCCUUCAGCAGUAAUGAGUUCCCCAUUACCUCCUCCUCCUCCUCCACCACCACCACCACCUCCUUUUCAUCAAGUCCGUUCUUUUCCUUCACAUGACAAACCAUCUCCACCACCUUUUCAACCAGCAGCAUCUCCUUGUGGUGCACCAACACCUCCACCUCCACCUCAACUCAAUAGAGCAUCAACUCCUCCCCCACCUCCAAUGCGUGGGACACCCCCUCCUCCGCCUCCACCUCCACCUCCACCUCCACCUCCGCCUCCUCAUGGAGCUCCCCCUGGAUCACCUGCUCAGCCUUCUUUGCGUGGGGCCCCAUCACAGCCACCACCUCCUACAGUUGUUGGCAUACCGCCCGCUUCACCCAUGCAUAGAGCACCCCCUCCACCACCCCCUCCUGGAGGUCGUGUACCAGGCCCAACUGCACCUCCAGGAGGUGCACCCCCUCCACCACCCCCUCCUGGAGGUCAUGUACCAGGCCCUCCUGCACCUCCAGGUGGUGCACCUCCCCCACCCCCACCACUAGGUUUGAAAGGACCUGGGAGAGGGCCGCCGCCACAGGCUGGGGGAGGACGUGGGCUCUCACGUUUUCCUGGGAUGUCGACUGCAACAGCACCUCGAAGAUCUACCUUAAAGCCACUGCAUUGGAGCAAAGUGACUAGGGCAUUACAAGGAAGCUUGUGGGCAGAACUGCAGAAUCUUGGAGAGCCUCACAUUGCACCAGAAUUUGAUGUGUCAGAACUUGAGACUCUUUUCUCUGCCACAGUCCCAAAAUCCAACAGCACAGGAGGCAAGCCAGGAGAGCGUCGGAAGUCUGUUGGAUCUAAGUCUGACAUAGUCCAUCUGGUUGACCUAAGGAGGGCUAACAACACCGAAAUUAUGCUCACAAAGGUGAAAAUGCCCCUUCCUGACAUGAUGGUAAGAGACAGGCCGCAGCACUUGCAAUGGACGAAUCAAUUUUAGAUGCUGAUCAAGUGGAAAAUCUCAUAAAAUUCUGUCCUACUAAAGAUGAGAUGGAACUUCUAAAGGGAUACACAGGUGACAGGGAGAAAUUGGGGAAGUGUGAACAGGUCUGUGAACUGGAUCAUAAUUUAUGCUAUUUUGUUGAUGACAUUUGUUCUUUUGGGAUAUGAAUGCAUUCAGCGAUUUUACUCAUUGAAGCUAAUCAUUUUUUCAUCUAGUAUUGAUGAUUUUAAUGUAUUUUAACAAUAAGAUGUAGCUGUAAACCUAGAUUGGAGAUCACAUUCCUUCUCCACUAUGAAGGGACAAUAUUGACAUUGGUACAAGAACGGUUCUUUUUAUUGUUUUCUGGAAAUACCUUGAAAGCUGUUGAAACAUUGUUUGGGCCAUUACUUGUUUUUUCAUCUACUCAGAUAAGAAAAUGCUUUAGAUUCUGUAGGUAUGUGCUAGUACUGCAUUGAUAUCUUUAUACUUGUGUAUUCUGUUCUUAAUCUUUGAUUUUUUAUGCUUGAAAAUUCCAUUGCCUGUGCACCAAGGAGGUCAAAAUCCACACAUUUGCAACUAUUCAGCUAUAUACAUUUUAGAUUCCUAUUCAACAAUGAAGAAAGCAUAAUAGAAAUCGAGACUUACAAUACAACAAAAUGAAUUCUAGCAAAUUUCAUUGAAUACAUGAACUAUCUUCUCAAUACCGUGGAGCACUCGUCCAUUUCUUUCUUUUCCAUAGUACCCAAAAUAUGAAGAGAGGUCCUGCAUCCCAAACCCAUUAAAAGCAUUCCAAGACAUGAACCACAGAAAAAUCCAUGAAAUAUAUGUGGUCUCUGAUAAACGGACAAGUGUAACUUGGUUCUAAACAUACUAACACAUUUUUCUCUUUCCCAAUGCACCAAAUUGCAUCAACAUUCCCAUGUGGCCUUGCCUCUUCUCCAGUCAAAAUUCUGAUAUUUGAUUCCAAACAGUAUCCAAAAUAUCAGACACGACAACAAGCAUUCCUCAGAAUAUUUACCAAACUUCUCAUAACAUGGUUUCUUAUCAGGAUUUCAUGUUAUAAAUAUGUUGUUCCAACAUAGGAUAAAAGCUUAUUACCAGGACAUCAGCUGGGAAGCGCGAUAUUAGAAGCUGCAGAAAACUAGCUUUUCUCAUGCAAGUGUGGCCUCAAUUCAAGGUUUAUGCCUAUGGAGUAAUGUCACUUUUCCCACAGCACAUGCUUUUGGACUGUUUGCUGCCAAACAAGUCCUGUUACAUGCCAUGCCAUGAUUUUCCUAUGUUGGCUGAAGCACAGUCCUUUAUUGGAAGUCAUUUUAGGCUCUUGGAUGAAAUGUGAUGUGAUUAUUGAUCACAUAAACUGCUGUUACUUAAGGGAAUAGAGUACUGUUAUUGAAGGGAAUGUGAGAGGAUAUGGGUUCGUCUCUUUUGAUGGAACUGAAAUAGAUUGAAGUUAUGUUGUUUGCCAAUGAAUUUUCUUUCAUUGAAGGCGGUUAAUCUGGUUGAAUAAGAAAUAUCAGUGCUUUUGACUAGAGAAGCAGCUAAUUAAGGUUUAUAUGGAAGUUCAACUAUUGCUGGUUGAAAAUGUUUUUGAGUCUGGUUGACCUAGGCCAUUUCUUGAAGGGAUUAUUUUGUGGAAAACCACAAAAAGAAAGAAUUGGUAAGACAUGGAAAGCUUGUUUCUAACCAUGAGGUUUCCUGCUUAUUGUCAUUCUUUUUAUAGACCUUGCAAUUAUCACAGUUAAUGAUGUUUAUUUAAGAUAACUGGAUGAAUGCUUGGUCGAGAACUUGAAUUUGUGAAGUAAAAGUCACAGUUAAGAGGCUGGAGAGUUUAUUAUAUUACGAGGAGAAAGAGGAAACGGAGGAAAGAGUUGUUCAGUUUAGAAAGAAAUAAAUGUUCCAAAUUGAGGCAAUUGUUUUGCAUUUUUUUCUGGUCAUUGUUGAUAGGCGAGCAUGCACAAGAAUUGCAGUCUUUAAUUCCUUUAUUUGAUCUUUCUAGAUGUUCAUGUGUCUCUUUUGGAGCAAUUCUACAGUAUAUUGACUUGCUUCAAUGGGGUGAAGGAAAUGGUAGAUGAAAGAAAUCAUUUUUUGAACAAAAAAUUAAGGUCAUGUUCUUAUUACUCCAAGGAGAAACUUGGGAGUCUGGCUUAGGAAUCUACUGCAGAUGCUGUUUGGCAUCAAGAUCUAGCUUUGCUCAAGUUAAGUCAGUCUUUAACAUAAUUUACCUUGAAGUAUAUCAAGCCCAAAGUGCACUUUCCAUUUUCAUGCAGAGCAGGUUUCCCUCAACACAGUAGGCUCACGAGUUCCCUUGGUAUUAUUUUGAUUCAAGCAAUCCAGUCAGAUGUUUACUGUAUGUUAGAGAUGUGAAGCAUGGUUUUCCAGGCUGACGUUUAAAAAUUUUUGGUAUUGUUAUUUUGGUCAACAAUGGGAAGUAACUGAUUUUCAAUAACCCUUGACCGUGGUAUGAUUUGCUCGUGAAUCAUACUAUAUGACUGUAGUCAACAAUUAUGUUCCUAGAACUAUGAUAGGGUUGGAGACUAGGUGUUCCAUAAGAAAUUAGGAUUUUUUUUGCUUUUUAGUCUACACUGUUCUGAUGUGGUUUGCUUCUAUCUUAAGAUCAUACUGAACGACACCAAGGUAUGUUACAUAAUACAUACUCUUGCUGUGAGAAAGACUAAAUCGAAAAGACAAGACAUGGGCAUCAACAAAACUGGGAUCAGCCUGAUGAAUGGAUUUUCAGUAGAUUUUUUUUUUUAAGUAGAUUCUAUUCAUGGAUGUUGGUUGAUGUAUUGGCCUCUCCAAAUGCAUAAAAUGAGCUUGAAUUUGAAUAAAACUCUAUAUGUGAACCACCUAAAACAAGCAUUUCUUUGUGCAAAUGAGAUAUAGGUGUAUUUAUUAUCUACUUUCCAGAAAAUUACACAUACCUUACACACAUGUAUUGUGUGUUAAUAUUGUGUAUUAAGUAAUUCCCAAAUAUGUAUUCAUAUUGCCUACCUAACAUUGAGAAAUAUAUCUUUGAGUUUUUGAAGAAGCAUAUUCUAUUUGCUAGAAAUUUCCACUAAAUUUUGUCUGCAGUAACGAGGAUUUCUUGACAGCAAACUUAGGGGGAUGAUCCACAGAUCUUGAUUCUUGCAUUUUGUUUUCCCUUCUUUAAGCGAACAACGUUUUUAUUAUUUUUAACAUUGUUACACGUUCUUACUUCUCCUUCCAUCUUCUAGUUCUUCUUGGAGCUGAUGAAGGUGCCCCGAGUGGAAUCUAAAUUGAGGGUUUUCUUAUUUAAGAUUCAAUUCAACAUUCAGGUUU